rnacentral:tRNA from 1 species
UCCUCCUUAGCUCAGUUGGUUAGAGCAUCUGACUGUUAAUCAGAGGGUCGCUGGUUCGAGCCCAGCAGGAGGAGCCU